CUCUGUGACUUCAAGGUGUGGUAGCAAACACCUUUAAUCCCAAUGCCUGGGAGGCAGAGACAGGCGGAUCUCUGAGAGUUCAAGGAGAGCCUGGUCUACAGAGUUAUUCCAGGUCAAAGAGAUACAGAGAAUAUAAAAUAAAAGUAAAAAUAAACGAAAUAGAGGUUAAAAUAAAGCGUACAAAGAUGGAAAAUACACAGAGAAUCUUGAUACUGUAUACUAUUAUGCUCUCUUUGAAUUGUUUGAAUGCUGAGGAAGGAGCAACAGAUGCUAAAAGAUAUUUGUUUAUAAAUGCUGCUGAACUAAUCCAUCGUAGAGAUUUUGAUGCCUUGACUUUGAAAUUUGGAUCUAAGGACAUGAUACUUUGGAAAGGAGUUUCUUAUUUUGUUUUCACAGAGGAUGAGACCCUGUUCAUUUCUUCUAUUCCGAUAUGGUAUGAUGGACCACGCCCUCCUGAACGGUUGCUGUGAAUACCUUCAGAAAAUUGCUUCGCUCAACUGCCAACUGAGAUGAAACUAGCACACAGGUUAUACCAUGAAAGACCUAAUUAACGACGCCCCCAUUCAGCAGGAAGCAGUUUGGAGAGAAAAAACUGCGCCCAUAUUCCCAAAUAUUGUUUAUAAAUGUUCUUUUACAUUUAAAGGGGGAGAUGAUAUAGGUAUGAAUAAUUUACAUUGAUAUGGAUUUUGCUUUAGUGAUUUAAAUUUAAGGUCAAUUUUGUAAUGUAUAUAGGUUGUUAAUGAAUAAUCAUUAAUAAUAGUUAAGUUUGUAGUCAUGUUAGUUAAGAUUUUCUAGAUGUGCAUAGAUAUAUUUUAGAUAGGCAUUCUUCAUAUUUUUCAAAGAUUAUAGAAUAUGGCAUUUUAAAUGUUUUAAUAACUUAGGACUUUUCAUGACAAUGAGACACUCUGCUCCUGGCAGCACCAAUCUACUUCAAGAGGAAGAUGGGCAUCGAAGAGGAUCCUUAUGGAGUUUGAUAGCCAUUUGGGCAAGAAACUGCUCUUGCCUGGACUAUUGCAUAAACUGGACACAGAGAACCCGCAGAGAGAGGACUGCUGAACUUGCCUAAAGGUGAGAUGAUCUUUCGGGGUUCCUGAUUCAUGAAAGAGUCUGCAAGACAUUCUUCAGGACAAGCAGAUAGUGACUGCCUUUGAAAGUUCCUGCUUUGUGGAAAUGUCUGCUGGAAACUAUGGGCCUCUAGGCUGAAGAUGGAUGCCCCAACGGUACAGAGGAACUUUGGGUGACUGUCCAGGCAGUGAGAUGUCUCUGUCAUUUCUAGAGUUUGAGAGUUUGCUUAUUUCUUAUUUGUUUAGGUAAUAUUGUAUCUUUCUGGACUGUUUGAUGGAGUUAAGAAUAGUUAGCUAUAGUUAUAGUUUUUCUUAGUUAUGAUAUAGAUUAUUGUAAUUUUUACUUGAUAACUGUUUUGUUAUAUGUAAUUUUGGGAUGUUAAGUUAAAGCCUUUUUUUUUUUUGUUUAAACAGAAAAAGGGGAAGUGAUGUGGGAGUGUCAUAUAUCAAUCUGUUGAUUUCAUUGGUUAAGUUAUAAUAAACCAGCUGCUUGGCCUCAUGGCUGGAACAUAGAUGGGAGGAGUAAACAGAAUAGAAUUCUGGGCGGAAGAGGAAGUGAGGUCAGACUCUGCUCUGCUCCCAGAGAGACCCGACAGCUCUGCUGGAGCAGAGACGCCAUGCUCAGCUCUCCCAGGCAGCUGCAACCCACGAUGGACUUAGGCUAGAAUCUUUCCGCACCAAUCUACUUCAAGAGGAAGAUGGGC